GUACCCAUAGCGCAAUUGGAUAGAGCGUCUGACUACGGAUCAGAAGGUUGGGGGUUCGAAUCCUCUUGGGUACGCCA
rnacentral:tRNA from 1 species